rnacentral:rRNA from 1 species
ACUGAAAAUUAAACCUAUAUUACUACACUGCCUUGUCAAUGCUCAAUCCUGUCUAACACUGGAAGCUAAGCAGACUUGGGCCUGAUUAGUACUUGGAUGGGAGACCACCGGGAAUACCAGGUGUCAGAG